ACAGGGCGCGGAGCGAACCAAUGGCCGGGCGAGCCCCGGCGCGGGGCGGGCCCGUCACGGGGCUCUUGGGGCGGCCCAGCGCGCGGGGCGGGCCCGGGUUCGGUCCGCUCCCGCGGGUCCGCUUGUGCCAGUUGCGAGCCACCCUCCUCCCGCGAUCCCACACACGCACGCACACAGUUCAAACCGAUGGACUCUAACAGCCGCAGGUCUCCUGAUUUCCUGUGUUUAACAUGCAGAAGUGAACACUGGAUCCCAGUUAGAGGUUAGUGCCAAGAAAGGUAUAGUUUUCUUCCAAGUUCCAAAGCGCACAGACCCCAGGAGACCAUGUGUAGAACCUCCUGUGCCGGGAUGGACCAGUGGAGUGGGUCACAGCUUUAGAAACAUGCCGGGAAUCCUCAGUCAUCACCAGGCGCCCCCCGAGCGGCACCUAGCACAUCACUCUGUUCCUAAUGCUCGGCCUCUGGUGGACCCCUGGCUGCCUUCUGACCUCACAGCUGAUUCUUGCCCUGCCCAAAGCCCCAGGACCCAGUAAUGCCUAAAUCCCACGAGAUACCUCCUCUGUGCAGAGCAACCCCUUCUGUGUUUGCUCUCUCCCACUUGCCCCCCCCAGUCCCCUGCCCUUGAUGUAUUUUCCAAAGCUGUCACUGCCACCUA